GCUGUUCCACUCUACAAUGAACUUUGAGACCCUCUCCCCCAGGAUGGCCUGUGCAAUUAUGUGAACAGGCAAUUCACUCCCCCAGAAAAGAGUCCUGUGGACAUGAGGAGAAAGAAGAUGACAGUAGCACUUAGGGCAUUCUUAACAAUGAAAAAGUUUACCGAAUGUUAGAAGUUCUGGCCAGAGUUUAAAGAGUCCUAUGCAUCAAUAAAAUAGACAAUAGACCGAACAUCUAAGGGGCUUCUGCGGGAAAUAGAAGAAAGAAGAAUCGAGGGUUACCAAGAGGUAAGUUAAAAGAUUUGUUGUGAUUUCACUUUUACAAUAAUAAUACAUAUUCUGACCUAUA